GGGCCGUUAGCUCAGUUGGCUAGAGCGCGUGCUCGACACGCACGAGGUCAGUGGUUCAAGUCCACUACGGCCCA
rnacentral:tRNA from 1 species